rnacentral:rRNA from 1 species
GAUAUUGGUCAAUGGGGGGACCCCUGAACUAGCGACACCGCGUGAGGGAAGAAGGUUUUCGGAUUGAAAACUUAUGUUGUCGGGGAAGUUAAUGCGGGUACCCGAUGAGGAAGCGACGGCGAACUCCGUGCCGGCAGCCGCGGUAAUACGGAGGUGGCAAGCGUUGUCCGGAAUUACUGGGUGUAAAGGGAGCGUAGGCGGGAAGGCAAGUUGAAUGAUAUAUCUAUCGGCUCAACCGAUAGCCGCGUUCAAAACUGUCUUUCGUGAGUGAAGUAGAGGCAAGCAGAAUUCCUAGUGUGGCGGUGAAAUGCGUAGAGAUUAGGAGGAAUACCAGUGGCGAAGGCGGCUUGCUGGGCUUUUACUGACGCUGAGGCUCGAAAGUGUGGGGAGCAAACA